rnacentral:rRNA from 1 species
GAUGAACGCUGGCGGCGUGCUUAACACAUGCAAGUCGAACGAGAAAGCUCCUUCGGGAGUGAGUACAGUGGCGAACGGGUGCGUAACACGUUGGUGACCUGCCUUGAGGAGGGGGACAACCGUGGGAAACCACGGCUAAUACCCCNGGAUGUCUAAACUAUUAGAGGGUUUAGACUAAAACCUCGGUGCCUCAAGAGGGGCCUGCGGGCUAUCAGCUUGUUGGUGGGGUAAUGGCCUACCAAGGCUAAGACGGCUAGGGGGCGUGAGAGCGCGACCCCCCACAAUGGAACUGAGACACGGUCCAUACUCCUACGGGAGGCAGCAGUGAGGAAUAUUGCGCAAUGGGGGAAACCCUGACGCAGCAACGCCGCGUGAACGAUGAAGGCCUUCGGGUCGUAAAGUUCUUUUCUAAGGGAAGAUAGUGACGGUACCUUAGGAAUAAGUCCCGGCUAACUACGUGCCAGCAGCCGCGGUAAAACGUAGGGGGCGAGCGUUAUCCGGAUUUAUUGGGCGUAAAGCGCACGUAGGGUGGCGCCUGUAAAGUUAGACGUGAAAGCUCCUCGGCUCAACUGAGAGAGGUCGUUUAAAACUGCAGUGCUUGAGGUUAGAAGAGGAGAGCAGAAUUCCCGGUGUAGUGGUGGAAUGCGUAGAUAUCGGGAGGAAUACCAGUGGCGAAGGCGGCUCUCUAGUCUACACCUGACACUGAGGUGCGAAAGCGUGGGUAGCGAACGGGAUUAGAUACCCCGGUAGUCCACGCUGUAAACGAUGGAUACUAGGUGUAGGGGGUCAUUUAACCCCUCUGUGCCGAAGCAAACGCGUUAAGUAUCCCGCCUGGGGACUACGGCCGCAAGGUUAAAACUCAAAGGAAUUGACGGGGGCCCGCACAAGCAGCGGAGCGUGUGGUUUAAUUCGAUGAUACGCGAAGAACCUUACCUGGGCUGAACUACGUGGUAGUAGUGAAGCGAAAGCGGAUCGACCCUUCGGGGAGCCUCGAUAGGUGCUGCAUGGCUGUCGUCAGCUCGUGUCGUGAGAUGUUGGGUUAAGUCCCGCAACGAGCGCAACCCUCGUCGCUAGUUACAAGUGUCUAGCGAGACUGCCGGUAUCAAACCGGAGGAAGGUGGGGAUGACGUCAAGUCAGCAUGGUCUUUAUGUCCAGGGCUACACACACGCUACAAUGGUCGGUACAAUAGGUUGCCACACCGCGAGGUGGAGCUAAUCCUCAAAGCCGAUCUCAGUUCGGAUUGUAGUCUGCAACUCGACUACAUGAAGGCGGAGUUGCUAGUAACCGCGCGUCAGCAUAGUGCGGUGAAUGCGUUCCCGGGCCUUGUACACACCGCCCGUCACAUCAUGGGAGUCGGUAACACCUGAAGUCGGUGACCUAACCGAAAGGGGGGAGCUGCCUAAGGUGGGA